rnacentral:rRNA from 1 species
GACGAACGCUGGCGGCGUGCUUAACACAUGCAAGUCGAGCGGAGCGGCGAACGGGUGAGUAACGCGUGAGUAACUGCCCCCCUCCCUGGGAUAACAGUUGGAAACGGCUGCUAAUCCCGGAUAGUGGGGGAUGAUUCGCGCCCUACCAGCUUGUUGGUGGGGUAGUGGCCUACCAAGGAGACGACGGGUAGCCGGCCGUGGAGGGCGACCGGCCACAUUGGUCUGAGGUAGGGCCCAAACUCCGACGGGAGGCAGCGGUGGGGAAUAUUGCGCAAUGGGGGGAACCCUGAUGCAGCAACGCCGGGUGCGGGAUGACGGCCUUCGGGUUGUAAACCGCUUUCAGCCAUGACGCGGUAGUGGCAGAAGAAGCACCGGCUAACUACGUGCCAGCAGCCGCGGUAAUAC